rnacentral:rRNA from 1 species
UGAGGAAUAUUGGACAAUGGGCGCAAGCCUGAUCCAGCCAUGCCGCGUGCAGGAUGACGGUCCUAUGGAUUGUAAACUGCUUUUGCACAGGAAGAAACAACGCUACGUGUAGCGUCUUGACGGUACUGUGAGAAUAAGGAUCGGCUAACUCCGUGCCAGCAGCCGCGGUAAUACGGAGGAUCCAAGCGUUAUCCGGAAUCAUUGGGUUUAAAGGGUCCGUAGGCGGUUUAGUAAGUCAGUGGUGAAAGCCCAUCGCUCAACGGUGGAACGGCCAUUGAUACUGCUAGACUUGAAUUAUUAGGAAGUAACUAGAAUAUGUAGUGUAGCGGUGAAAUGCUUAGAGAUUACAUGGAAUACCAAUUGCGAAGGCAGGUUACUACUAAUGGAUUGACGCUGAUGGACGAAAGCGUGGGUAGCGAACAGG